rnacentral:rRNA from 1 species
AUGGUCAAGGAGAUCAUACUUGACCUGUUCCGUGAGUUCUCUAGGGGAACAUUAGACGUAUCCCGGCUUAACUACGGGAUCAUCUCCCUGAUCCCCAAGGUGCCGGGAGCCGCUGACAUCAGGCAAUUCCGUCCUAUCACAGUCCUCAAUGUGAUAUUUCGGAUUUUGGCAAAGGGGUACGCCACUAGGGCGGCCCUAAUUGCCCCUGGAUCCACCCCCCGAAAUUCGGCCUUCACGAAAGGCAGGUAUAUCCUGGAUGGGAUCCUCGUUCUCCCCGAGGUCAUCCACGAGGUCAAGAGCAAGCACCUUCGUGUUGUAUUCUUCAAGAUUGACUUCCAUAAAGCAUACGACACCGUCCACUGGUCCUUCCUUCGGGAGGUGAUGUUCAAGCGUGUACGAUGGUGA